AUUGUGAGGGCACAGAGACUUGGUCAUAGAAAGUCAAACUUCCAAGGCUGGGGAACCAGAACUCUGGGAGCCUGUUGGAGUGACACGUGGAAGGUGGAUAUCGAAGGUGGAUAUCACUGUACCACAUUAAACACCAACAGUGUACUGCUGAGUGAACAUGACUGGACAGAACAUGUGGAUAAUGGUAUCAGGUUGGGGUAAACAGGGUGAAAAUGAUUAAA
rnacentral:lncRNA from 1 species